UACGUAGGUGGCAAGCGUUAUCCGGAAUUAUUGGGCGUAAAGCGCGCGCAGGUGGUUUCUUAAGUCUGAUGUGAAAGCCCACGGCUCAACCGUGGAGGGUCAUUGGAAACUGGGAGACUUGAGUGCAGAAGAGGAAAGUGGAAUUCCAUGUGUAGCGGUGAAAUGCGUAGAGAUAUGGAGGAACACCAGUGGCGAAGGCGACUUUCUGGGCUGCAACUGACACUGAGGCGCGGAAGCGUGGGGAGCAAACAGG
rnacentral:rRNA from 1 species